rnacentral:rRNA from 1 species
UUGCAGUUCAGUGUGGCAUUCUGGCAUAUGUUUCGGGGUACUGGAGGAGAUCCUUUUGGUGCACCUACAAAGAACUGGCCUUGGGAGGAUGGCACAAAUUCCCUGGCCAUGGCUAAGAGAAGAAUGAUAUCUCAAUUCGAGUUCAUGAAGAAGCUUGGAGUUGACAGGCGGUGCUUCCAUGACAGGGACAUCACCCCUGAUGGGAAAACACUCGCGGUAUUAUUUUAUUAG